GGUGAUUGUAGCGAAGAGGGCACACCCGUUCCCAUCCCGAACACGGAAGUUAAGCUCUUCAGCCCUGAUGAUACUGCGUGGGCAACUGCGUGGGAAAAUAAGACAUCGCCG
rnacentral:rRNA from 2 species